UACAAAGAAAUCACCUGCCCUGAAUUACUCACGUCCUGUGCUGUUGUCGCACAUUUCCCGAUAUACUGCAUCCCUGGCCCUUGAGACCUGUCUGCACUUGGUAUCCAAAGGGCCCCCUCAAGACCCGGAUCUUAUCCUCUGUGUCUGCUGCGGAAAUCCAGGGUAUGAAACCUGCUGGCACCUGACUUCCGAGGCCAGCCUUUCCUAUUCCAGAGGAAGCAGAACGGAAGCUCGGAACUGCCAGCUGUCUGAUGUUUACUGGGCAAUAGACCCCCUCCUUUCCCGCCGUUUUUUUUUUUACAGUUCACCUAUCCUACUCAUGUGCAGUCGAAUGCCUCUCCCGUAUGCUGUACUUGCCAACUCCAUCUCCAGUAAUUAUGCUGUUUUAGUCCACUGCAAUGUACCUGCCAACAAUCUGAAAUGUGCAGGUGGUGGCGCAGCGUCGUCUGCCUCGCUCUCUCCCCGUUUUGCGUGCACCCUGCCGUGGCAACCUAAUAUGACGGCUGUGACACGGCACGCGCGGAAGACAAUGACGGCCAGGGCUGCACCAGUGCCCUUGCCACUUACCUGCCAGAGAAUGUUCGUUUCUUUCCUGCCCUCUUUUUCUUUUCUUCUUUUCAUGUUUCUGUUCCCGUCUUUUCCUCCAGGAAAGGCAAGGAGACCAUUUCCCCCGGGACCAACCCAUCUGCUCCUGGGGAAGGUCAGGACACAUGUCCUGCUUCAAAUGAACCACAUGCCUUCCAAAUGGAAAGAGGCAGAAGGCUACCUUCCCACGACUUCCAGAAGGGGUUCUGGAGAACAGGUGAUGAACCUCAGUCCAGUCUGCCCAGGAUGUGACUCACACCUCAGUCCAAGUGCCAACACUGUACGUACCAUUAGUCACCUAGUAAUCACUUAGUGGAGGGAGACCACAUGCCGUAACUUUUGU
rnacentral:lncRNA from 1 species